GGGACACGUGGUAUCCUGUCUGAAUAUGGGGGGACCAUCCUCCAAGGCUAAAUACUCCUGACUGACCGAUAGUGAACCAGUACCGUGAGGGAAAGGCGAAAAGAACCCCGGCGAGGGGAGUGAAAAAGAACCUGAAACCGUGUACGUACAAGCAGUGGGAGCCUCUUUAUGGGGUGACUGCGUACCUUUUGUAUAAUGGGUCAGCGACUUAUAUUCUGUAGCAAGGUUAACCGAAUAGGGGAGCCGAAGGGAAACCGAGUCUUAACUGGGCGUUAAGUUGCAGGGUAUAGACCCGAAACCCGGUGAUCUAGCCAUGGGCAGGUUGAAGGUUGGGUAACACUAACUGGAGGACCGAACCGACUAAUGUUGAAAAAUUAGCGGAUGACUUGUGGCUGGGGGUGAAAGGCCAAUCAAACCGGGAGAUAGCUGGUUCUCCCCGAAAGCUAUUUAGGUAGCGCCUCGUGAAUUCAUCUCCGGGGGUAGAGCACUGUUUCGGCAAGGGGGUCAUCCCGACUUACCAACCCGAUGCAAACUGCGAAUACCGGAGAAUGUUAUCACGGGAGACACACGGCGGGUGCUAACGUCCGUCGUGAAGAGGGAAACAACCCAGACCGCCAGCUAAGGUCCCAAAGUCAUGGUUAAGUGGGAAACGAUGUGGGAAGGCCCAGACAGCCAGGAUGUUGGCUUAGAAGCAGCCAUCAUUUAAAGAAAGCGUAAUAGCUCACUGGUCGAGUCGGCCUGCGCGGAAGAUGUAACGGGGCUAAACCAUGCACCGAAGCUGCGGCAGCGACACUAUGUGUUGUUGGGUAGGGGAGCGUUCUGUAAGCCUGUGAAGGUGUGCUGUGAGGUAUGCUGGAGGUAUCAGAAGUGCGAAUGCUGACAUAAGUAACGAUAAAGCGGGUGAAAAGCCCGCUCGCCGGAAGACCAAGGGUUCCUGUCCAACGUUAAUCGGGGCAGGGUGAGUCGACCCCUAAGGCGAGGCCGAAAGGCGUAGUCGAUGGGAAACAGGUUAAUAUUCCUGUACUUGGUGUUACUGCGAAGGGGGGACGGAGAAGGCUAUGUUGGCCGGGCGACGGUUGUCCCGGUUUAAGCGUGUAGGCUGGUUUUCCAGGCAAAUCCGGAAAAUCAAGGCUGAGGCGUGAUGACGAGGCACUACGGUGCUGAAGCAACAAAUGCCCUGCUUCCAGGAAAAGCCUCUAAGCAUCAGGUAACAUCAAAUCGUACCCCAAACCGACACAGGUGGUCAGGUAGAGAAUACCAAGGCGCUUGAGAGAACUCGGGUGAAGGAACUAGGCAAAAUGGUGCCGUAACUUCGGGAGAAGGCACGCUGAUAUGUAGGUGAAGUCCCUUGCGGAUGGAGCUGAAAUCAGUCGAAGAUACCAGCUGGCUGCAACUGUUUAUUAAAAACACAGCACUGUGCAAACACGAAAGUGGACGUAUACGGUGUGACGCCUGCCCGG
rnacentral:rRNA from 1 species